AUUGAACGCUGGCGGCAGGCCUAACACAUGCAAGUCGAGCGAGCGGCGGACGGGUGAGUAAUGUAUGGGGACUGCCCGAUAGAGGGGGAUAACUACUGGAAACGGUGGCUAAUACCGCAUACUAUCGGAUAACCCAUAUGGGAUUAGCUAUUGGGUGGGGUAAAGGCUCACCUAGGCGACGAUCUCUAGCUGGUCUGAGAGGAUGAUCGGCCACACUGGGACGGGUACACGGCCCAGACUCCACCGGAGGCGGCAGUGGGGAAUAUUGCACAAUGGGCGCAAGCCUGAUGCAGCCAUUCCGCGGGGAUGAAGAGGGCCUUAGGGUUGUAAAGUACUUUCAGCGGGGAGGCGUUACCCACAGAGAAAGCACCGGCUAACUCCGUGCCAGCAGCCGCGGUAAUAC
rnacentral:rRNA from 1 species